rnacentral:misc_RNA from 1 species
GAUGAAGAACGCAGCGAAAUGCGAUAAGUAAUGUGAAUUGCAGAAUUCAGUGAAUCAUCGAAUCUUUGAACGCACAUUGAGCCCCUUGGUAUUCCGGGGGGCAUGCCUGUUCGAGCGUCAUUAUCACCCCUCAAGCUCAGCUUGGUGUUGGGGCCUGCCGUCAAGGCAGCCCUUAAAAUCAGUGGCGGCGCCAUCUGGCUCUAAGCGUAGUAAUACUUCUCGCUACAGGGUCCUGGUGGUGUCUUGCCAGAACCCCUCAUUUUUUAUGAUUGACCUCGGAUCAGGUAGGGAUACCCGCUGAACUUAAGCAUAUCAAUAAGCGGAGGA